GCAUAACUACUACCAUUAAAUUGCAGUUGUAAGCUAGUAAAGGAAAACUGAAAAUAGUAAGUAAAACCAAAGAAAACAGAGCAAACCAAACAAAUCUUUUGCUACGUACAGAAAAGCUAGCAAUUUCGGUUUUGGAAAUGAAAAUCCACGACGGCCGGAGCAUCGAGGACUCAACCAAACCUCAAACUUCGACCAAAAAGCGAGAUCGGAAGGGAGCAAAGCAAAAACUGAAAAGCUUCUGCUAAAAUCUUCACAGUUUCGACGGUAUGCAGGACCACCGAUUAUUUCACGGAACGGAGGCCGCCGGAAAAAUUCUGCUUCGGAGCAGCGAACUGAGGCGUCGUCGACUUCAGAUCUAUAUUCCUCUUGCGAGCAGUAAUGGAUCUAUAUUCUGAAGAAGAAGAAACAGGGCGAAAACAAAAAAUAUGUUUCCUAUGAAGACUUACCAGAGAAAUUAAAUUCGCGAGAAGAAGCAAAAGACCCUUGAACCCAGUAAUGAGAUCCUAGUUAAAGCACCGAUACAAAAUACUGGUUAAAGCAAAAUACUAAAUUCUUUUGUAAGCAUCAAAAUUCUCGCCAUCGUCUCCGAUUCUACCAGCUCAACUCUCUUUAUAUCAAAGGAGAUAACAAUUAAACAUAUUAAACAUGCCUGAAAUUAGAUCUGUAGGGAAUAUUAAACAUGCCUGAAACAUAUUGUAUCUUUAUAUUAAACAUACAAUUAAACAUAAUCUGUAGGGAAUAUUAGAUAACAAAUAAACCAGGCUUCUAAUAUUUGUAAGUUUUGGUGUGUAUUUGGAGUUCUCAUGUAGCAAUAUUAGCGAGGAAGUACUAUUGUAGGCAAGAUAUCUGCAGUGCUUGGGAAGAAUCUUUUGCAAGUAUUAGAAAUAUAAAUUCUGUUCUAUCAUAACAUCUGAAAGAAAGGAGAAGAGAUUAGAUAAUGAAAAUAAAUAUGAGCCGAAGUUUCAGGUUGUGUCAAACCAAAUGUUUUACCUAUCCAACAGUGCAAUCCUCCAAAUAGAGCAAGAUUGGUUCCGUUGGAAAGUACAAAAUGGAAAUUUGGAUCCACAAAGUGCUUUUCUCAAGAGACAGCCAAAGGUGCAUUUAUCACACCUUGAAGGAGGAAAUAGUGGAGCAGGAUAGUUAAAUUGGCAGUGGCAGGUGAAAAAGUGCCUCUUGCCUUGGAAGCUCUACAAGCAUUGUGAAGAUAUGAUCUCGUAUAUGUCUGUCUUCCCUUUAUGCAAUAGAAUAAUCAGGAAAAUUAUAGGACCUGAGCUUAAUAUUUUUCCUAGAUGAAGCAGCAGGCGGUCCGUUGAACCUAUAAAAAAAGGAAAAUGGUUGUUGAAGAAAGUACCCUUGUGUUCCUACAGUAUUCUAAAUCUGGUGAUUAUAGACGUUAAUUAUCCCAUGGUAGUUUAUUACCAUGCUAUGUCACCUUUUCUUUUUCCUGGAUAGAAAAUGGGGAAAACAAAGAUAUUAAAUAAAUGAUUGAAGACAUAAUAGAGUGUCAGAGGCUUGCUGAUAUUGUUAAUGACGAGAGACUACAUGAAGUUUCACGAUGUCAAAUUAUGAAGGCAUUUCUCUUUGACGGGAGUAUACCUUUCAAGCUUUUUAUAAAUGUACUUCUAAAAUAUUCCUAUUUGUGGAUGACAUAUUGUUUCCAUGUAUAUGCAGCACAGCUUCAAGCAGGAGGGGAGCGCUUGACCCCGAUAUCAUGAUUUGAUGGAAACUCCUUACACCUGUUUCAGUAUUGGACAAAAAGAAGCUCUAUCAGUAAAUCUAUCCGCAUAAACUCAGUCUGAAAAGUUGCCUUAAAGGAUUAAUUGAAUUACAUAUGUAGUCUCAUGAAUUUCUGAUUCCUUUUUAGGUCAAUUUCAGGCAUGUAACAAACUUAAUUUCACAAUUAGUCAAAGGGACAGUUACGAGAAGAGGUCCAAGGACCGACCUUUCUUGUCUCUCAUGUUUGAACCUGUACCAAGUUGCAGAAUGUGUUGUUAACUGUACAUCUUGUGGUAGUAUUGCAGAUUUCAAUUACAACUGAAGCUGGAAAUGGAUUUUGAUCCAACAAACAAAAUUUUCAACUAGUGCACCUUGAAAUGUUUGAAA